rnacentral:rRNA from 1 species
GGUUCCUCGACUAAUAAAAAUGGGGAAUCAGGCCUGCCCAGUGAAAUUUUAACGGCCGCGGUACUCUGACCGUGCAAAGGUAGCAUAAUCAUUUGCCUUAUAAUUGAAGGCUAGUAUGAAUGGUUUAACGUGAGCGGCGCUGUCUACUUUUAUAUUUUCUAUAAAUUAACCUUUAGGUGAAGAGGCCUAAAUUUAAUUAAAGGACAAGAAGACCCUGUCGAGCUUAAAAGCUUAAAAAGAAAUCGUUAUUAAUAAAAUUUGUUUCUUUUAUAACUUUUUAGUUGGGGCGACUAAGGAACAAAUAAAGCUUCUUCCACUAAAACAGCCAAUAAGCUAAGAUCCAGUUUACUGAGCAAGAAAGUUAGUUACCGCAGGGAUAACAGCAUAAUCUUCCUUGAGAGACCAAAUCGAAAGGGAGGGUUGUGACCUCGAUGUUGGACUAGAAUAUCCUAAAGAUGCAGACGUCUUUGAGGGUUGGUCUGUUCGACCAUGAAAAUUCU